AUUGAACGCUGGCGGCAUGCCUUACACAUGCAAGUCGAACGGUAACGCGGGGCAACCUGGCGACGAGUGGCGAACGGGUGAGUAAUACAUCGGAACGUGCCCAGUAGUGGGGGAUAGCCCGGCGAAAGCCGGAUUAAUACCGCAUACGACCUACGGGUGAAAGCGGGGGAUCGCAAGACCUCGCGCUAUUGGAGCGGCCGAUGUCAGAUUAGGUAGUUGGUGGGGUAAAGGCCUACCAAGCCUACGAUCUGUAGCUGGUCUGAGAGGACGACCAGCCACACUGGGACUGAGACACGGCCCAGACUCCUACGGGAGGCAGCAGUGGGGAAUUUUGGACAAUGGGCGCAAGCCUGAUCCAGCCAUGCCGCGUGC
rnacentral:rRNA from 1 species